GGGGGAAGACCGGAUCCAGGGCUGUGUCCCUGGCGUCCUGUGCUCCCGGCGUGUGCUGUUGGAUUCAUACUCCCAGCAGUGCAGCCCCCU
rnacentral:pre_miRNA from 1 species